GCCGACAUGAAACUCGCCGUUGUUCGUCGUCUCUUAACGGUUGCCAAGAAACACAUAAAAGACGGUUGGAGAAGAAAUUUAUACCGGGUGCCCGGACACAACAUGUACUCGUCCUAAUAAUUAGCCUAAUUUAUCUAGGAUCGUUUAUACACGCGUCGAGGGAACGAUCCUCAGAGGAAUGCGACGAGAUCUCGCAAUGAAUCGACAAUGAAUCCUGGACAACGGAGAGUGAAUUUGAAUACGACGCGUGUCGCAACUUGGAACAAGAUGGCGGCUUUCUGCGCGACGUCGACGGACUCGGAGUUUCAUCGUUCAUUUCAUCAUCAUGAGCAUCGAGAUCGAAGAAAUGGAAGCGGGACUCAUUGCGUCUCCAAUCUUCGGUUUGGAGGCGAGCUGAAAUAAGAAACCGUAAUGCUCGAGCAUUGUCGCGGAUGUACCUCAUUAUCUGGCGAGAUCCUCGUGAUACGACGUCGCGGAUGGUUUCUUCUGGGUUGCGCAAUACACCUUCGAGCUGUGCACUCGUACUCGUGUGUACCUCUAGCACGUCUUGCUUUACGUUGCCAAUUAAGAGGAGCGAACGUGUCGAUAUGCAAGGAUGACACCUGUUAUUCCGUAUCGAUUGCGGCAGCCUUGAUGAUUGUGCAAUUCGGUCCCAUUGUCAGGCAUACUCUCGAUUAAGAUUGCCGAGGGACUUUGUUGUCUUUGCUGGUCUAAAUAGUAUUUGCUCGUUGUUACGCGUUGGUAAACCCUCUUCGCGUACUGGCGACUUCUGCAAGAAAUGUAAAAAUGCCAGAUAACUCCAAUUUAAUCUUUUGUUAACAGUUUUCAUUUAAGAAAAUAAGACUCGAUGUGAACGG